rnacentral:tRNA from 1 species
UGGGGGGUGGUGUAAUAGGUAGCACAGCAGGUUUUGGUCCUGUCAGAGCGGGUUCGAAUCCUGCCCCCCCAG